rnacentral:tmRNA from 4 species
GGGGAUGUUUAGCUUUGACAGAAGAAGCUCUUUAAAAAGGCAGACCGUGGUUUUCUAGUAAACACGUAAUUUCUAGAUAAGGCUUUAAAUGCCAAAAACUAUAACGAUGCAGAUUUAGGAAACGAGGACGGCUUUGCUGCUCCUUCUUAUGCUUUUGCAUUUGCCUAAAUAAGCUAUUUCCAAGGCAAUCUCUUCUAGUGGAUUCUUGGAAGUAUAAAACAGCUAGAAUCUUUGUUUUGCUGCCGUUGGAAGCAUUAUGAAGAACUUUAAAACCCCAACACUACUACUGGAAUCAUAGAUAAGUCAGAUGAUCUACCAGUAGUAACUCCGCGCAAGCGAAUAGGAGGUAAAAACAUCUGACUAUGUCUGUAGAACUUUUUAGGGAAAAUCUUUUGGACGGGGGUGCAAAUCCCCCCAUCUCCACCA